UUAACGUGACAGAACUUUUACAUUGUUUACGUGGGAGAUGGUCCUUCGAGCAAAGGCUCCACAGUUCGUAAGCACUUGAGCCUUCUCUCCUCUGUCAAGCCUGGUGAAUAUGAUGCUAAGGACUCCAUGGUUUAUAGCUACACGAAGAGCUUCAAUGCCUUUGCUGCAAAGCUAUCCAAAGACGAAGCUCAAAUGUUAAAGGAACUGGAAGAAGUGGUUUCG